GAGAGUGCCUGUUUUUAUGAGCAUUAAUUGCUUUCAGUGGGACUACUCAUUAGUAAAGGCCUUCUGUUUGACGUUUACAUUUUCUUCAGAGGACAAGAGAUUGAAGCCUGCAGAAUAACCAGAAAUAUGGAACAUGGCACAGCUGCUCUGGAGAAAACCUGAACUGCUACUGAGCACAAGAAGUAGUAAACAUCUGGAGAUCAUUUGAAACUGUAACUGCUCAUGCACUAUGGAAGACAUGAAAGAAGAAGUUAAUGUUUCUUUUCUGGAUAGGGGAUUGAUCUUUAUCACCACUUUCCCUAAACUGUAUUAACAGCAAUCACCAGGGACAG
rnacentral:lncRNA from 1 species